rnacentral:lncRNA from 1 species
GCCGCAUUCUGGCACAAGCAACGCCACAUCAACCUCGGCUACCGCUGGACUGAGGUGGGCUCAUGCAUGUGAUAUCAGUUGCAAGCACUUGUGCAGCUAGCUUAUGUGGGGUCCCAGAUGUUUUGUGCGAAAUCUGGUAGAUCAUUCAUCUUAUAUCAGGUUUGCAGCAUCCCUUGGGAUGUGCCCCCGGGUCUGUGCAGUUAUUUGCAUUGGCGAGCAGCGCCCCAUCAACCUCGGCUACCGCUGGACUGAGGUGCGCGCCCAGCACUGCCCAUACUUGUGUCGUUCUACAAGGAGGUUUUCACACAGCAUGUGAAGGUCUCACAUGUCGUGUGCACAAGACUAUCCAAAUGCCAUUCUGUGGAACGCGCAUCCCGGUCUAUGCAAUUGUCAUCUGUUGCAUAUUCGA